CCUACGGGAGGCAGCAGUGGGGAAUAUUGCACAAUGGGCGAAAGCCUGAUGCAGCAACGCCGCGUGAAGGAAGAAGGGUCUCGGCUCGUAAACUUCUAUCAACAGGGACGAAAGAAAUGACGGUACCUGAAUAAGACGCCCCGGCGUACCCCGUGCCAGCAGCCGCGGUAAUAUGGAGGGGGCAAGCGUUAUCCGGAAUUACUGGGUGUAAAGGGUGCGUCGGGGGCAUGGUAAGGCAGAUGUUAAAGCCUUGGGCUUAAACCGAGGAUUGCAUUUGAAACUAUCAAGCUAGAGUGCAGGAGAGGAAAGCGGAAUUCCUAGUGUAGCGGUGAAAUGCGUAGAUAUUAGGAAGAACACCAGUGGCGAAGGCGGCUUUCUGGACUGAAACUGACGCUGAGGCACGAAAGCGUGGGGAGCGAACAGGAUUAGAUACCCUAGUAGUC
rnacentral:rRNA from 1 species